GGGUUGAUAGGUGCAACAAACGACCAUGGCACACAUCUACUUAUGUAACAAACCUCCACACUCUGCACCUGUAUCCUGGAACUCAAAAAAAAAAAAAAAAAGUUAAAAGGAGUUCUUCAGAGUAAAGGAAAAUGAUAUAGGCCAGAAACUUGGCUCUACAUAAAGAAAUAAAGAGCACUGAAGGAAAAAAAAAAAUGAAUUUGAGGUACAAGUAGCCAGCCGUAGUUCCUGUCCAUGAUUCUCUAGAAGGCUAUUUUUUAAGGCUGUUGGGCCCAAAAAUUGAGGCAGCUGGGACCUCUCCUGUAUUCAGAAAUGCUUUUCUACCUGAUGGGUUAAUCGUUGUACAUGGCACCUGGUUCCUACAAAUGAAAUCUUCAAGUUGCAAAGAGAUUUAUGUGAUUGAUCUUUCCUGGAAUUAAGUGUGAUUGGGGAUGAGUGCUGUUCACUCUUCCCAGUAUCUUCUCCUUUCCUCUCCCUUACUGCCCCUCCCCAAACAAUAAUAAAAAUAAGAGAAAGAGAAGGCAAUGACAAUCUGGAUUUAUAAUGUCAAAGUAAGUUCAGAGUAAAAUGCCUUCUUAGGUUUUCAUUUUAAUGCCUUUACUAUGUGUGAAAUUGCCUCUUUCUCUCUUAUUACAUUGGAAAUUGCCAGAAUUACCGAUCAGCCUAUCAACCAGCCCGUUCUUUAUUCAAGGUGCUGACCUAGCUGAGGAGGAAGAGUGACCAGUAUACAGGGUUUCUUCUAACAUUAGAAGAAAUAUGUGUGUGUGUGUGUGUGUGUGUGUGUGUGUGUGUGUGUAUUCAUUCCUUAGAAUAAGACUGAUACAAAGAAGGCAGUUUACUGUUGUAGACUACUAGAAUAUACUGCUUUAUGCAUUAAUUCCAUCUGGGAUAUGUGACUAUACCCAGGCCAUUACUUAACUAUUGUCUGAACUUGAUGACUAUGGAAAAUAAUCUCUAUGUUCAUGUCUAUAUUUUUAAGUGUAUUUUCAUUAAGUUAGUACUUGACAAAAGAUGUUUUCUGGGAUUAGCCUGCUUGACCUUUGUGAGUCACCAGAUACAAAAUUGAGUGUGUCAGGGAAACUAUUCUGAAAUUAAUUGGACUGUGUAUAUAUUUUGUAUACCCUCUAUCUUCCCUGUGGAGAACAAAAGUUCUUAAGAUUGGAGCUAGGUUCUCACAUACCGUAGAACAUACAUUCAAGUAUAAAGGGACCCUAAAAAUAAUGUGCCACUUGCAAUGUUAUCAGUGAAGAAAUAAAAGAGAGGUAAAGUGAUGUACAAGGGUCAGUCACCUCACACUUAGGGCAAUCUGCGCACGUGGUAGCCCAGUGCUGAGAAUUGUGCCUGUGGUUCCAGCCCAUGGCAUGCAUUUGACCUGUGAUGUAGCUGCAUUGCAUACUCUUCUCCAGUGUUCGAAAAGCAGAGUAAGUCAACAGGACAGAAGAAAACUUUCAGUCUGUCCUCUCAUUCCUGUCGUUCCCUUGCAGGCCAACUUGCCCCUGCUGCAGCGUGAGCUCCUCCACUGCGCAAGACUGGCCAAACAGAACCCUGCCCAGUACCUCGCCCAGCAUGAACAGCUGCUUCUGGAUGCCAGCACCACCUCACCUGUUGACUCCUCAGAGCUGCUUCUCGAUGUGAACGAAAACGGGAAGAGGCGAACUCCAGACAGAACCAAAGAAAAUGGCUUUGACAGAGAGCCUUUGCACUCAGAACAUCCAAGCAAGCGACCAUGCACUAUUAGCCCAGGCCAGCGGUACAGUCCAAAUAACGGCUUAUCCUACCAGCCCAAUGGCCUGCCUCACCCUACCCCACCUCCACCUCAGCAUUACCGUUUGGAUGAUAUGGCCAUUGCCCACCACUACAGGGACUCCUAUCGACACCCCAGCCA
rnacentral:sRNA from 1 species